CUCGUGACGUUCGACGUCACGUCCACGUGUCAUAUAACUAGGAAGAAACCCGUAAACAUUGAGCCAGUAAGGAGGCAGAAAAUCUUUUGGCUUAGCCUAAAAUGCUUACAUUUAGCUUGACCGUUGUUCGACAUGGGGAGACACAAUUCAACAAGGAGAAGUUGCUGCAAGGUCAGGGGGUGGACACUUCUCUGUCGGAGCCGGGGCUCCAGCAGGCAGAGGCUGCAGGACUGUACCUCAGAGAGCUCAGUUUCUCCAAUGUGUUUGUCAGUAACCUGCAGCGCGCCAGACAGAAAUCAUUGAGGAACGAUGUUCACUCCUCGGGCGUUGAAAUGGUCUUUGACCCGUUACUCAGAGAGAGGAGUUUUGGGAUCGCAGAAGGACGGCCCAAGGAGGAUCUGAAGAACAUGGCUAACAGAGCCGGCCAGUCGUGUCGAGACUAUACUCCUCCUGGAGGGGAAACCUUGGAACAGGUAAGGCUGCGAUGCAAGAAGUUUCUAAAGUCCCUUUACCAGCGCAUGGUUGACGACCACGGCUGCUCAGGACAGAGUUCUACUGCUGUAGGGAGAGGGGCCGGUGCAGCCGAGUCUGGUACAGAUGGGCCCCUACCUGGUCUGCCUGACAACGGGAUGGAGGGUGUCCCUCUCCAUGCCCUGGUGGUGAGCCACGGGGCCUACAUCUGUGUGGCUGUGAGACAUUUUGUGGAGGACCUGCAGUGCUCUCUGCCCCAGGGCCUGAAGAUGUCCAAGGUGUUGUCAGCCUGCCCCAACACAGGCAUCAGCCGCUUUGUCCUCAUCGUUUCUGGAGCAACGAACCGCCCUUGCUGUCUCUGCCUGGCCUGUUCCCCUCUUUCCACUGGGAUUCUCUGCCUCUAACCCUAUUACAGGGGCUGAGUCACUGGCUUGCUGGGGCUCUCUCAUGCCGUCCCUGGAGGGGGUGCGUCACCUGAGUGGGUUGAUUCACUGUUGUGGUCAUCCUGUCUGGGUUGGCGCCCCCCCCUUGGGUUGUGCCGUGGCGGAGAUCUUUGUGGGCUAUACUCAGCCUUGUCUCAGGAUGGUAAGUUGGUGGUUGAAGAUAUCCCUCUAGUGGUGUGGGGGCUGUGCUUUGGCAAAGUGGGUGGGGUUAUAUCCUUCCUGUUUGGCCCUGUCCGGGGGUGUCCUCGGAUGGGGCCACAGUGUCUCCUGACCCCUCCUGUCUCAGCCUCCAGUAUUUAUGCUGCAGUAGUUUAUGUGUCGGGGGGCUGGGGUCAGUUUGUUAUAUCUGGAGUACUUCUCCUGUCCUAUUCGGUGUCCUGUGUGAAUCUAAGUGUGCGUUCUCUAAUUCUCUCCUUCUCUCUUUCUUUCUCUCUCUCGGAGGACCUGAGCCCUAGGACCAUGCCCCAGGACUACCUGACAUGAUGACUCCUUGCUGUCCCCAGUCCACCUGGCCAUGCUGCUGUUCCAGUUUCAACUGACCUGAGCCCUAGGACCAUGCCCCAGGACUACCUGACAUGAUGACUCCUUGCUGUCCCCAGUCCACCUGGCCAUGCUGCUGCUCCAGUUUCAACUUCCACCUGACUGUGCUGCUGCUCCAGUUUCAACUGUUCUGCCUUAUUAUUGUUCGACCAUGCUGGUCAUUUAUGAACAUUUGAACAUCUUGGCCAUGUUCUGUUAUAAUCUCCACCCGGCACAGCCAGAAGAGGACUGGCCACCCCACAUAGCCUGGUUCCUCUCUAGGUUUCUUCCUAGAGUCUGGCCUGGCACUCUCUGCUGUCCGCUGUGUUUUCACCAACAGGAAGGACCACCUGACCUCCCGUAACAUAUGUUACAUCACACAUUAAAGAUGGACAAGGCAACACAAAAGGUUUAGUCACUACUCUGCUCUGUUUAAAUGUUAUUUACUGUAGCUAACAAACCACUGAAAGCAAAGAAUAUCUGGCACAGGGACCUGUCUAAUAUUGAUGAUAUGAGUUGGGGGGAGAUUUUACUAGGGUCGUUGAGGAACCCUAAUCACCAAUUGAUUCAUUUUUUAAAUUUUAUACACGGUAAAUAAAUUAAGCAUUUUUGCACAGUUUAUAUCUUCGCCUGUUUUAAAGCUUGUUAUGUAACCAUGGUGACCUAGGCUCUUUUAUGCAUUGGAAGUGCCCCAAAGUGGAUAGAUUUUGAAGACCGGUAUUUUAUCUACCUUAUCUGAUGUUCUUGGUGUCACUACCAGUCCUUAAGGAUGACUCCUCUCACACACACUGUCACUCCAACAAUGACAUGUAAUGCUAACAGGUUUAACCUCUUGAAACUAGGGGGCACUAUUUUUAUGUUUGGAAAAAUAACGUUCCCAAAGUAAACGGCCUAUUUCUCAGGACCAGAUGCUAGAA